UUGAAGCAUUAUCCAGUAGUUUCUUAUCUUUUUUCUUUUAAGGUCCUGUUUCUAUAUCUUUGUAUCAUAUUUGAUGCUUCUUAAAGUUUUAUAAUUUCAUUAUAUAAAAAUUAGGAUAUGAAUAAAUAAUUACCAUUAAGUGGCCAAUUAAAUCCAGAAUUCUGUAAUAUCUUUAAAGAUGUGUUUUGAAAUUUGACGAUUUUAUAAACGUAGAUACAUAUCCUUACAGAAGAAUAUGUUAAUAUGGUCAUCUAUUUUUCUCACUUUUCUAUGUAUCCAUGCAUUCUCUUAUAUUCUCUUUGCCUUUCUCUCUCUUAUUCAACACGCACUCUAUGAAAUAAUGACAAUGUUGAUUGAAUACAACAUUUACAAUACGAUAUAAACAUCAGGGAUAUUCUGAUAUGCAAAGACCAGUGCUAUAAAAACACUCUUCGUACUAAAAAAAAAAAAAAAGAGAAAAAAAAGAGAAAAAAAAAGAAAGAAAGAAAGAAAGAAAGAAACUCGAGAUUAACUUAUUGUCAGAUACUAUGAUGUAACGCAAUCAUCCUGCAUGGCUAAAUGAUAACGGAGGGAAUGAAUGUAUAUAGGCAGAAGUGAUAGCCUGGAACUCAUUUACAUGUUUAACAUUGAGCUGUGAUGGCAAAAAUUAAAUACCAUGGCAAGUAUUAUUACAUCACAUUAAUGUUGAGUUUCGUUUACUGUUUUCACACCCUCUAAUUCUUUGCUGUUAUUUUUCUCUUCAUCUUUAUCUGGAUUAUCCCAAGAUUGUCUUUGCCCAGAACCAAAUAUGACAUAAAAUGUAGCACAAACGACAUAAACACCUGCUGAUAUCAUAAAGACAAUCCUCCAUUUGUGUUGAGUUGGCUAUAAUAGAAAAUAUUAAAUAGUUAUAUAUACAAUAAAUAAAUAAAUAAAUAAAUAAAUAAAUAAAUAAAUAAAUAAAUAUAUAUAUAUAUUCAUAAUUAUCUAUUAAAAUAUUAUAAAUUAUAUUACCGUUCCAACGAUAAUAUGGCCAGCUAUAAUAGGUGCAAGUAAUCCGGCCAAGUUAGCAAGACAAUUGGUGAAAGACAUUAAAACUCCUGCGAAUCUUGGAGAGAUAUCAAGAUGGUUCACUUUGAAACCAGAAUAAAUACCACCAUUUAAACCAACACCAAUAGUAAGAAGGCUUAUUGUCAGCCACGGAUUACAACCUGUGUAAGAUGCUGCUACCAAUGCUACAGCUGGCCCAUAUUGACCAAUGCUAUUAAUAAUUUUACGCGUAACAGUAUGAUUAAAUUUAUCUGUGGAAAUCAUCCAGUCGGCAACAUGACUAAUUAACAUUGAAAAGAUCCACAUAGCUAAGUAAGGAAGAGAUGAAACAGUACCAUUCUGAAAUAACAAAUAUGUUAUAUAAAGUAUAUCGUCAUCUAUUGAUUAAUUGUUUAUGUAAAUAUUAUCGAAAUGUUGUUUUUACUCACAGACUUAAUAUCGAAAUGUAAAAUCUGUUUCAUAAACGUUGGAAGUUCCGUCAUUAACGUUUCAUAUCCAUAAUUUUGACCCAUAUGUGCCAUUAAGAUAGCCCAGAAAGGUAAUGAAGUAACAAUUGAUUUCCAAGGUACAGGUGGAGACUAGAAAAAAUAGAAAUAUGCGGAUGACUUUCUGGAUCUUCAUGGACCAUAAUGAGAAAAGCUAUACACCAUAUAGUACCAACAGCGCCAAAGACAUAAAAUAUUGAUGGCCAACCACCAGCAAAUCCAUAUUCAGACAGCAAACCGCUUAAUGGCAUUGAAAUGACUGUACCAAACUGAGCACCUGUUGAUAACAGAGACAAAACAUAGAUUAAUAACAAAAUUCUAAUGAUUAAAGAGAAACCUACUGUGAGUCAUUAAGAACAGUGGAUAAGUCAGAACCAAAAAAAGUCCACUCCUAUGAUUCCAAUUCCAUCGUAGCAAGAAGUACACAGUGAUUGGAUGCAUUGAAAUAUCCAGAGGACUUGCGGGACUCAAGGUGAAUUGGUAUGUACAAGAGUGCUACAUUAAAAAAUAUCGCACUGUACGAGCUUACCAGCAUAGACGAAGGCUCCCAUUCUGCUCCUCUCGUUUGGUGGUAUCCACUUUGCCAACAAUGCGUGCGUGCAAGGCACAAUUGGACCCUGCAAUAGGGAUAAUCCAUUCCUAGGGGGAGGAAAUCACACCCAAACAAUCAAAAAGCGUUCACACUCAACGAAUAUGUAAUCCUUUAUUCUAAAUCUAACAUUAUGUCUUUUUAAUCAAACAAAAAUUUCAAAAGCAAAAAUUCUACAUACAGAUUUUAUAUAUAAUAGACAUCGGAAAAACAUAUGGAUUAAAAAGAAAAGGAUGUUCAAUUCUUUUUAAAAUAUUAAAGAAAUAAUUUCAAAUAUUAAAUUAACAACUUGCCUAAAACUUACAUACAUUUCAUGGUAUAUUUCCUGUAUUUAAAUAAUAGAAGAUCAAAAUCUAUGUAUAUCAUUUUUUUUUUUUUUUGUUUAGACAAUAUUUUAAUGAGUCGUGUAAUAAACUUUCCCGUGACACACAUUCUCAUCUCAUGUAUAUACGGUAUGCUCUUUUAACAUUUGAUGAACUUAUAAUCAUAACAAAUAUAUUAGGCAAAAUGCGAAGGACUACUUACCUCGCCUAAACCUUGAAUAAA